AACGCACAUUGCGCCCUUUGGUAUUCCGAAGGGCAUACCUGUUCGAGCGUCAUUAUCCAACCUCUCUACCCCCCGGGGUGGGGGCAUUGGAGUCCAAGUCGGUUUCGACCAACUGGCUCUCAAAAGCAAUGACGGCGUCCGUGGGACCCUCGAUACACCGAGCCCUUUCGAGAGCACGUGUCGAGUUGCAAGGUCCCUCCGGGCCGGUCUGACCUCUAUAUCUUCUUAGGUUGACCUCGGAUCAGGUAGGAAUACCCGCUGAACUUAA
rnacentral:misc_RNA from 1 species